rnacentral:lncRNA from 1 species
UUUGCAAAUUUACCAACUUGCUGAGAAUGAGCAAGAGGGUCGAGAUUUUCUUUCCCAAAUCUGGAUCCACGAGAUCUCAGGUGAGAGCCAUCAACGGCUGCAAUUCGACUCGGUCGGUGGUUUCCGGUCCGGGCAAGAAUUCCUCCCCUGCCACGGCGGUGUAUAAAUAUCCCAAAAGGAUUUCUUGGCAUGAUAUGUCUGUGUUUGCCUUUUCUCAUAUUUAUUUUCUGGUUUCACAUUAGGUGGCGCAAAAAAAAAAAAAAAGGAAAAAAAAAAAAAAGAGAAGUCGCUGGUUUUGUUUUCCCCGUCGUCGACCCGACCAAAAGAGGACGGCCAAGAAAGCUCCACCUACCAUCACCAAACAGCCGGCGAACCCGCAGAGAACCCGCCGGUGACGGGACCCCCCCGGCGCAUGAUAACCACCCAAUCGGAUCUCGCCACCUCGGCCCCUCCCUCCACCGCCUCCCCGCCACGUGUCCCUCCCCCUCGCCGUCCCGCUUUUCCGUCGCCGUCAGCCGAACGCGCCCCCUCAUCUCCGUCAACCGUUAAUUGCGCUGAGAAAACCCAACCCCCACACACCUCGACGCGCUCUUCUCUCUCUCUUUCCCCUCUUUCUCUUCUCUUCUCUUUCUCUCUCUUGCUCGCGAGUUACGUUGAUCAAACCUGCGCACCCCCN